AGAUGUCAUAGAGCAAGUGGACUUUAUAGGCAGUGUAGCAAGGGCAGAAGAUAAAUCCCAAGGUGCAUGGGGCAGGCUGCAUCUGUAGGAAGAGAUCCAGGCUGCAGGAGGCAAAGCUGGGAGACGAACAGCCCUGGGGAUGGCUUGGAGCAAACCUUGCACUACAUUUCUGUUUGCAGAUCCAUUCCUGACACACUCUGUGCACAGUGUUUUAAGGGGAUAAACUGAAAACUGCCAUCCCUCCACGUAAAUAAAGGGAAUUGUCAUAAAGCUAACAGAUCCCGCUCUUAAGUAGCUCUCAAGAAUAUGAAGUGAGAAUGAGGUGCCUAAGAAAAUAACUUUCCUGCUGCUUGGGAAAAACACUCUUAGGACAAUAACUUUAUAGCUGUGAUUGAUACAGGCUUUGAAAGAAAGCAGGGGUCUGAAAGACUCUGUGUAUUGUCUGAACAAGGAGAACAAAGACAUCAAAAUAAAACAGGUUUUUUUUUAAGGUCUGUUCCUUACCUUCAAUUAUCAGCUUAAGGCGAAGUUGCUGGAAUGGUUACAGGCAGCCAGUUGCUUUGUGGGAAUCUGAUAUGCACCUGGCAAGCACAGGGAGCAGUGCGCCGUUGCUUGUAGUGUUCUGCCCACCCAAGGGACCAUCGUCGCAGGUCAAGUUCUUUGUGGGUUUCCAGAAACAGUUCAGGUGCCACUCUCUGGCUGCCCCAGCACUGCCAAAGAAUCCAGACCACUGGCUUUACUGAAGUUAUGAUGGACAGAGAACGAGGAAGCUCGCUUUGUGAAGAAAUCUAAUGGCCGCUGUUCCCUCUUCAUGUCACUUCACUGACUUCUGGGCAACCGCAGCAGCACUGAAGGCACUGCCACCUGAAGCAGUUCUUCUUUAGAGAAGUCACAUAGGAAAUGUGGCCUGGCUUCUUCUCAGCUUCGAGUACUGGCUACCAGGUCCCCAGGUCACCUCCUUCCUAAGCAAGUUUGAGGAGCAGAGGAAAGGAAGGAUCCCUUUGCCCCAUCUAUACCUGCAGCUACAAAGAGGAGUCUUUGUACAGGAACAGAGUGGAAUUUGCUGGCUGCAGAGUGCUUUAAGCAGUGCAGCUGUAAUAUGCUACAUGCCAGAUUGUAGACAUUCCUGGCACAGAUUUCCAGAAUAUGAAUAAACAUGGGAUGUAUGUAUAAAACAGCACACAACGCAGGCCCUCGGAGGCCUGGAGAGUGCAUGGCAAUGCCUUUGUGCACAUACAGCCUGAAGGCCAGGUGUCACUUUCAACUCCAGUAUCCACAUAUGCCGGUCAAUUAUUUCAAUGUAUUGGAGGAAUUAUCUGAUAAUGUCAUACCUCUCCAAUGCACAGACUCAUUUCCAAUUGCAAUGUCCCUUGAUGGCCACCACAAGAUGUAGCAAUGAAAUACCACAAAUAUCACGAGUAGGGAGGCAAAGAGAACUUGAGAACAUGUUAAUUAGGAAGGCUUAGGUGGGCUGCAAAAUCUCUAAGGUCAUCCAUUCCGAGAUCCAGCGACAGGGAUAGAGUCACAAGUGAUUCACUGCAAAGGGAAGCAUUAUUUUAGAAAAUGAAUAAUUAAAAUUCAGGAACUGCUGAACAGCACUUAAGCAAGCCAAAUCCUAAUGUCUGUGUAAGUAUCAUGCCCAGUGUAUGUCUAGUCCUGUGCCAUUACAACACUUCUUUGAAAAAAAAACAACACAGAAGGAGAAUAUGGCAUUGUAGGCAGCAAACAGUCAAGAAAAAUAUAGGGUGACCCCACCUCUAACAGCUGAGCACUCUCAGCCCCUGGGGAAAGACUGCUGCCAUAUAGAUGUGAGGUGGUUUUCUCUGAUGCAAGGUGAUACAUCAGACCUCACAAGAGUCAGUGGGGGUCUUUCUGCUGACACAAUGAUAAUGCCUUUGCAUCAUUGAGUGCUGUUAAUCAAAACCAAAAGCAAGAGAAUGUUUUCCAAAGAUUACUUGCUAUUUUUUCUCCCUGAAUUUUUUGACAAUUUGAAGAGUGGAGCACUGUGCAGGCACAGGGCAAACACUUAAAUUAGGCCAGAGGUAACUUGUGGCACUGUCGUAACUGCCAUAAAUGCAGAGAGAAACAGGUCAGCAACUACAAACUCUGGAAACACACGUACCCAGAUGUUGGAUUUAAAAGCAUGAAAAUGGCAUAUAUACCAUUCUCCUCCUGACCUGUCCUUUACACUCUACUAUGUUGCACACUGUUCUUUCUCCUCUCCAGAGCAGAGAGAAACCAGAUCUUUACACACUCAUGGUGAAUUUUCAAAUCAGUAACAUAUGAAACUUUGUCUAAAAGGUAAAGAGGCUGUAAAAAUCAAUGUCAGAGAGAACACUUUGCCAAUUCAAUUAUACUUCUCUCAAACUGAAAACAAACGAGAGAAAGAGACAAGAAGCAAAAAAAGGGAAAAGAUGUGGGCUUAUUUCAAGCCCAUUAAAUGUUCCUUGGGCUAACAUCCCAAUUCGUUAAAUAUUCUCAGGGCUGCUUAUGCCAAGUCCCCUCAAGGGGUCAUAAUUAACUCUAAAUAGGGCUACCUUGUUUCACAAUCAGUCUUAUUUCAAGCAAUGCUCCUGUCUGUGUCCACAAUUUUAAAAUAAUGUUGUGUCCAUUAGAUGGCAUGAAAGUGUCCCAGAAAUGGAAAUCAGCCAU
ensembl:lncRNA